GCCGGUUUAGCUCAGUUGGUAGAGCACCCGCCUUGUAAGCGGUAGGUCAUCAGUUCGAUUCCGAUAACCGGCACCA
rnacentral:tRNA from 4 species